UUCGCCCUUAGAGUUUGAUCCUGGCUCAGAUUGAACGCUGGCGGCAGGCCUAACACAUGCAAGUCGAACGGUAACAUUUCUAGCUUGCUAGAAGAUGACGAGUGGCGGACGGGUGAGUAAUGCUUGGGAACUUGCCUUUGCGAGGGGGAUAACAGUUGGAAACGACUGCUAAUACCGCAUAAUGUCUUCGGACCAAACGGGGCUUUGGCUCCGGCGCAAAGAGAGGCCCAAGUGAGAUUAGCUAGUUGGUAAGGUAAAGGCUUACCAAGGCAACGAUCUCUAGCUGUUCUGAGAGGAAGAUCAGCCACACUGGGACUGAGACACGGCCCAGACUCCUACGGGAGGCAGCAGUGGGGAAUAUUGCACAAUGGGGGAAACCCUGAUGCAGCCAUGCCGCGUGUGUGAAGAAGGCCUUCGGGUUGUAAAGCACUUUCAGUUGUGAGGAAAAGUUAGUAGUUAAUACCUGCUAGCCGUGACGUUAACAACAGAAGAAGCACCGGCUAACUCCGUGCCAGCAGCCGCGGUAAUACGGAGGGUGCGAGCGUUAAUCGGAAUUACUGGGCGUAAGCGCACGCAGGCGGUUUGUUAAGCUAGAUGUGAAAGCCCCGGGCUCAACCUGGGAUGGUCAUUUAGAACUGGCAGACUAGAGUCUUGGAGAGGGGAGUGGAAUUCCAGGUGUAGCGGUGAAAUGCGUAGAUAUCUGG
rnacentral:rRNA from 1 species